UACGUAGGGUGCAAGCGUUGUCCGGAAUUAUUGGGCGUAAAGAGCUUGUAGGCGGUUUGUCGCGUCUGCUGUGAAAUUUCGGGGCUCAACCCCGAACUUGCAGUGGGUACGGGCAGACUAGAGUGUGGUAGGGGAGACUGGAAUUCCUGGUGUAACGGUGAAAUGCGCAGAUAUCAGGAGGAACACCGAUGGCGAAGGCAGGUCUCUGGGCCAUAACUGACGUGAGAAGCGAAAGCAUGGGGAGCGAACAGG
rnacentral:rRNA from 1 species